CUAGUUCCGACCUGAGUUCGGUUCCCGGGCAUGCUUUUUCUGCUUGGGAGGUGAUAGCUGUGACUACAGGUAUCUACACAGUUGCGUCCAUCACUCUGAGAUUGACAGAUGGUUGGGGAUCCCCUGAUUUUGAGGGGGGAUAAUUGUCAUUCAUGUGCAAGCAAACAAGGGCAACUGCAGUUUCUUUGGAUUUUGUGUCAAAUUACCUCUUGCUGCAUAUAUUCUGUAUGGAGUCUCCUAUACAGGGUUUGGUGUAUUUAACUUCUGAUGGGCAUGUUUGUCUGUCUACAGGGCCCACCCAGCAACCUGCAGCUGCUGUGGACAACACCACAUGCUUUCCCCACCACACACAGCACGCAGAGUCAGUGGAAGAUUAAAGCAGUAGUAAGGUGUGUGUGGCAAAAAACUGCAUUCUAAGUUCCACAUCACAGUCAUUGCAGUUCAUGAUGGUCUGACAAGGGUGCUACUGUAUGCCCAUGCCUGAUCUUUGCUGCAUACAGGCUCACAAGCUGCUUGUGGAGGACUGCUGCUGCAGCAAUGUCUUGUAGUGUUAACUAACGGCGAUAGAGGACUAAUACUAGGCAUGACUACCAGAAGGUGUUAGGGUGGAUAGUGCAUGUGACCUAUGAUGUAGCAUGUUUCGAGGCAAAUUUUGUUGAGAGAUGGAUGAGCUGCAGCUGGGUGCACCCAAUAUGAAACUGUUUGGAGCUGUUUCGAAGCUUCUGCUGCAGCAGCUGCUGCAUACAGGCUCACAAGCCGCUUGUGGAGAAGCUACUGCUAGCAGCAGCGCUGCUGCACUGUACAGUCACUGUACAGACUUGUCUUGGAGUGUUAACUGACGGUGAUGGAGGACUUCUUCUAGGCAUGAAUACCAGAAAGUGUAAGGGUGGAUAGAGCGCUUCUGAGCUAUAAUGUAGCAUGUUUUGAGGCAAAUUGUUGACAGAUCGAUGAGCUGCAGCUGCAGCUGCAGCAGCCGCUGUUGUGGAAAUGUUUGGUGCUGUUUGGAAGCUGCAGAUUGUUUGGAAGCUGCAGCUGCAGCAGCUGCUUCAGCUGAAGCAGGCAAUGCAUAUGGCUUAAUGUUGUUACAUAGCAGGACUUGGGAAUUUCGUAUGCAUGUAGCUGCUGCUAGGCGACGUGUAUAUGUAAAAUUAUGAAUCCACACGUACAUCCCUACCCCUAUGGCAGCCAAACGACGUGUUAUGACCCCCCCCUAGCAACUGGACUAGUUACUCAGGAGACGGGUUGCGACCCAGUAGCGACCCAGUAGCGGGGCAGUAGCGACCCAGUAGCGACCCAGUAGCGGGGCAGUA
rnacentral:lncRNA from 1 species